CCAAUUGUCAAUAAACGGAUGUACUUUGUUAUUGUCACAUAAAGUUACAAUACAGCAGACAAUUUCGUAACACAUUUGAAAAAAAAAAUGUAUAUUGUGACUUAUAUUGUGCAAUUUGGAAGGUCUUGCAGAAACAACAUCAAGCGAUUGAUGAAAACGACGAACAUCAUCCGAUUCCCGGAUUCAAAUCGCUCGAAUCCGACGAAAAAAAUAACAAUAUAUGGCAGGAAAAACUUCACCGAACAGAGCCUGGGAUCAACAGUUGCAACCAAGCAAUGCUGCUCCGUGUCUACGUUGAUAAUCAAUAUUUCACCAGGCUCAUCAUCAUUUGAUUUGAUGCAAAGAUAAAAUAGAAUUCAAU